rnacentral:rRNA from 1 species
GGGCCCGCACAAGCGGUGGAGCAUGUGGUUUAAUUCGAUGAUACGCGAGGAACCUUACCAGGACUUAAAUGUAAGUUGCAUGAUUCAGAAAUGAAUCUUUCUUCGGACUACUUACAAGGUGCUGCAUGGUUGUCGUCAGCUCGUGCCGUGAGGUGUCAGGUUAAGUCCUAUAACGAGCGCAACCCCUAUCGUUAGUUGCCAUCAAGUAAAGUUGGGAACUCUAGCGAAACUGCCGGUGCAAACCGUGAGGAAGGUGGGGAUGACGUCAAAUCAUCACGGCCCUUACGUUCUGGGCUACACACGUGCUACAAUGGCCGGUACAGAAAGCAGCCACUAUGCGAAUAGGAGCUAAUCUAAAAAACCGGUCACAGUUCGGAUCGGGGUCUGCAACUCGACCCCGUGAAGCUGGAAUCGCUAGUAA